ensembl:rRNA 5S_rRNA 5S ribosomal RNA
GCUUACGGCCAUACCACCCUGAGAACGCCCGAUCUCAUCUGAUCUCAGAAGCUAAGCAGAGUCGGUCCUGGUUAGUAUUUGGAGGGAAGACUGUCUGGAAAUACCAGGUGCUUUAAGCU